rnacentral:rRNA from 1 species
CAUAGCUAAGAAUAAAACUCAAAGUGAAACCUGCCCAGUGAUUUUUAAAAUAAAAUAUUAAAUUAUUUUAAUAAAAUUAAACGGACGCAGUAUCUUGACUGUGGUAAUGUAGCAUAAUCAUUUGCCAUUUAAUUAAUGGAUAGUAUGAAAGGUUAAACGAAUAUUUCACUAUCUCAAAAAAAAACACAUAUAAAAUUGAAAUAAUAGUUAAGAUGCUAUUUAAAAUUGUAAGACGAAAAGACCCUAUAGAGCUUAACUAAAAUCUUUUUAUUUUCUUUAUUUUAAUAAAAAUUAUAAUUAAAAAGAUGGUUAGUUUAGUUGGGGCGACUACCUUUUAUUAAUAACAAAGGUAAACAAAAUUAAUAAAAUAAUUUAUUGUAUAAUUUAUAAAUUUAACAAUUAUAAAAAUAGGUUAUAUUGACCCGUUACUUAUAAAACAAAAUAAUAACGAUUAAUAAAUAAAAGCUACCUUAGGGAUAACAGAAUAAUUUUAAUUUAGAGAUCCUAUCGAAGUUAAAGUUUGUCACCUCUAUGUUGAAUUAAGAUAUCCAAAUAAUGCAGAAGUUAUAAAGGGUAGGUCUGUUCGACCUUAAAAAUCUUACAUGAUUGGCCCCCUUUCCCCAAAAAAAAAAUUAUUUUUUUAAUUUAAGGGGUUUGGAAUCCGAAGGGAAUU